CCUACGGGAGGCAGCAGUGAGGAAUAUUGGUCAAUGGGCGCUAGCCUGAACCAGCCACGUAGCGUGAAGGAUGACUGCCCUAUGGGUUGUAAACUUCUUUUAUAUGGGAAUAAAGUGCAGUAUGUGUACUGCUUUCCAUGUCCCUUAUGAAUAAGGAUCGGAUAACUCCGUGCCAGCAGCCGCGGUAAUACGGAGGAUCCGGGCGUUAUCCGGAUUUAUUGGGUUUAACGGGAGCGUAGGCGGGUUGUGAAGUCAGGUGUGAAAGUUUGCGGCUCAACCGUAAAAUUGCAGUUGAUACUGGCAGCCGUGAGUACAGUAGAGGUAGGCGGAAUGCGUGGUGUAGCGGUGAAAUGCUUAGAUAUCACGAAGAACUCCGAUUGCGAAGGCAGCCUGCUGGACUGUAACUGACGCUGAUGCUCGAAAGUGUGGGUAUCAAACAGGAUUAGAUACCCUUGUAGUC
rnacentral:rRNA from 1 species